CCUACGGUGAGCAGCAGUGGGGAAUAUUGCACAAUGGGGGAAACCCUGAUGCAGCGACGCCGCGUGAGCGAUGAAGUAUUUCGGUAUGUAAAGCUCUAUCAGCAGGGAAGACAAUGACGGUACCUGACUAAGAAGCCCCGGCUAACUACGUGCCCGCAGCCGCGGUCAUACGUAGGGGGCACGCGUUAUCCGGAUUUACUGGGUGUAAAGGGAGCGUAGACGGCGAUGCAAGCCAGAUGUGAAAGCCCGGGGCUCAACCCCGGGACGGCAUUUGGAACUGUAUAGCUGGAGUGUCGGAGAGGCAGGCGGAAUUCCUAGUGUAGCGGUGAAAUGCGUAGAUAUUAGGAGGAACACCAGUGGCGAAGGCGGCCUGCUGGACGAUGACUGACGUUGAGGCUCGAAAGCGUGGGGAGCAAACAGGAUUAGAUACCCCUGUAGUC
rnacentral:rRNA from 1 species